GUUGAACAUUCAGUAGACAUAUAGAGCGUUCUGCUUUUGAGAGUUGUAACUGACAAUGACUAACUGAAAAUAUAUUCCUUUUUCCAUUUUCCCAGAAUUUACUGCAGCCAUCCCAGAAGAGACUGAAACCUCCUUGGUGAAGUGAGCCUUGAAUAUGAGAAAUGUUGCCUUAGACAUACCGAUCCAUUAGUAUGUGCAUAAGCAUCUUAGAGUUCUCUUAAUCAAUCACAGCUAAAUGCACAGUGAUCCAUAAAAUAAAACAUAACAUUUUCAACUCAUGAGGAAAAUGCCAUUUUUAAUUAGUUAGGAUUCUUAACCUUUCCCAUCUCUUUUUAAAAACUUGUGAAUGCCUAAAAAAAAGAACUAUGUAGAAAAAUGGACAGAAUCCAAGGUCUGGAUGAAAGCAAGAGAGCUAAAAUGCAAAUUUUCUGAAUGCGUUUUCAUCUGUCUUUGUUUACCACAAGACUAGGGUGAAAAUAUCUUUAGAAGAAUUUGUUCAGCUGAAGCACUUCAGCUGUUAAUAGUGUGGCAGAUAAACUGGUGUAUUCUUUUCGUAUUUCUUCAGAAUGGCACUAACAUCAAAUGAAAUAGUGAAGGUGUGAGGAAGAGUUCUGGAGUUCUCUACCUUCCCUCAAAUAACUGGGCAAAGUGCAACAGAGCUUUCGCUUCACCUCCCCUAACACACCAGCGGAGCUGAGCUGACACGAGGAAAGAGGAAUUAUACACUUGGAUAAAGAAUUUCAAAGCUACAUAAGGGAUCUAACAGAUAGAAACAUACUAAGAUGAAAGCAUUCAAUCUAGUCAGACUGAAGACACCUUCAACAUAUCACCAGGAGGUACUUUCAUUAGAAAGGGAACACUCAGAAUAAAUCGUAAAAAGUUGGUCCUGAGUGCUGUUAGCAAGCUCUCUCUCUAACCUAGGUCUCUGCAGGAAGCAAGUAAUCUGGCAACAAACAACUACAGAAUUAUAGGUUAACUGAAGAUUCUUCUUCUCAAGAUUUUGGGCAAAUGUGGAGUAAACUACCACAAAUAAAACUAAAUUUGAUCCUCUGCACUGCAACUGAGAAAACAGGUCAUGAUUUAUGGAGAUAGCUAAGUGACAUGAGUGUCUGUCAACAAGUUCUUCCCUGGCCCUGUUGUCUUACUGAAGGAGAUAUUAGGAAACAAGACUGUUCCCUACCCAGCUGGUGCAGAAUUGGGGAAACAUCCUAAUAGUGAGGAACAAAAAUAUGAAGGACAACCCAAUGAUCAAAGGAACACUCAAGAGCUAUAUAUGAAUUUUAAGUGAUUCAUGACAGCAUCACCUCAUCAUUUUUGCUUCUUUAUUUGUAGCAUGUUUCAACUUUACAAUGUAUAAUAUAGUGCAAUGGAACGAGUUUGAGGGAAGUGAUUAUUCCCCUCUAUUCUGCACUGGUGGGGCCACAUUUGGA